rnacentral:misc_RNA from 1 species
GAAAUGCGAUAAGUAAUGUGAAUUGCAGAAUUCAGUGAAUCAUCGAAUCUUUGAACGCACAUUGCGCUCCUUGGUAUUCCUUGGAGCAUGCCUGUUUGAGUAUCAUGAAAUCUUCAAAGUAAAUCUUUUGUUAACUCAAUUGGUUUCUACUUUGGUAUUGGAGGUCUUUGCAGCUUCACACCUGCUCCUCUUUGUUCAUUAGCUGGAUCUCAGUGUUAUGCUUGGUUCCACUCGGCGUGAUAAGUUAUCUAUCGCUGAGGACACUGUAAAAGGUGGCCAAGGUAAAUGCAGAUGAACCGCUUCUAAUAGUCUAUUGACUUGGACAAUACUUUUAUGAUCUGAUCUCAAAUCAGGUAGGACUACCCGCUGAACUUAAGC